AGACUGUUUUAUUUAAUUUUUUACUUAACAUUACUCUCACCUUUUGCACGCAUAACAUUGGCCACCUGAGAUUCUCCGCACGACGAAUGAGAACAAUGGCUAUGAGAGGACUCCUCCGAGGCGACGAAACAGAAAACACUGAGGGAAACAUGCUGGGGUUCGCAACAGACUGAGGACCAGAGCGCACAGUCAACCUUUACCCAGUAUCCUGCUAGCCAACGUCCAGUCACUUGAGAACAAGAUGGAUGAUCUCAGAGCCAGGAUAAGAUUCCAUCGGGACAUAAGGGACUGCAACAUAAUCUGCUUAUCAGAAACAUGGCUGACCCCCUCAGGACCGGACGAAGCUGUAACACCGUCUGAUAGCUUCUCUCUUCUUUGGAUGGACAGGACUGCAGAGGCCGGCAAAACAAGAGGUGGCGGGGUCUGUUUCAUGGUCAACAACAAAUGGAGUGACCCCAGGAACACCACCACUCUGUCGCGUUCCUGUUCGCCUCAUCUGGAGCAUCUUAUGAUCAUGUGCUACCCGUUCUAUUUGCCUCGUGAGUUUACAGCGGUCAUCGCCACGGCUGUUUACAUUCCACCUCAAGCGGACACGGAGAUGGCCCUGUCUAAGCUCCAUGAUGUGCUUAGUGUCUGCUUAAACAACCACCCGGACACUGCCAUCGUUGUUAGUGGGGACUUUAAUAAAGCCAGUCUUAAACAUGUAAUGCCAAACUUUUACCAGCAAAUUUCCUGCCCAACCAGAGGGAGGAACACAUUGGACCAGUGCUAUUCUCAAUUCAGGAAUGGAUAUAAAGCUAGCUCGCUACCAGUUUUUGGUAAAUCUGACCAUACCGCCAUCUUCCUCAUACCGGAAUACAAACAAAAGCUUGUGCAGGUAGCUCCGGAGAGGCGGGUGGUGAAACGCUGGUCCGCCCAAUCAGAAGCAGCGCUACAGGAUGCGCUCGAUGACGUAGACUGGGACAUGUUUUGGUCUAGUUCCACUGAUGUCAGUGAGUUUGCGGAUGUAUCUAUCAGCUUUGUCGGCACUCUGGUUGAGGAGUUAAAACAAACUAUAACAAUAAAAACUUUCUCGAACCAGAAACCAUGGGUCGAUAAAUCAAUCCGGGCAGUGGUGAAUGCGCGCACAGUAGAGGAGUUAAAACAAA
ensembl:lncRNA